rnacentral:rRNA from 1 species
UUUACUCGUGACGAGAGCGAGGGAUUUGUUUCUCCCUUUUAUCUCUCUCGCGGCUUUUUCAGUCUGGUCGAUCGAUUCGAUUCGAUAUAAGCUAGGCGGCGGGUGGGAGCGCGCUUAGGCGGCGCGGCUGAUGGACCCUGGGUGUCUGUCGCGGAGAGGCGGCGUGGCGGGGCGGCCGGCAGGAGGUGGUCAAGACCCGACCACUGUGGCAUUGCCUAAAUAGAACCUUUUGAGCCUUCACGAGGCCCCUCAAACCGGGCCUUAAAUGGACAACUCAAUAGUGUUCUCACCACCGAGGUAUGACCAAGCCAUAGACACAGAAAUGAGGACCGGAGACCUCGUGGCUUCUUCACUUCUCACCCCCUAUAACAGCACCAUCCGGUGCAUGGAUAAUUAUCUGGCGACAUUUGCAUCACGUAUCACCUGUGACUUUCGUGAUAAGCCGAAAGAUUUCUAUCUAACGAUAUUACCUCCUAUCCUCCUGUUAAGACUACCUGGCAAUACUUUAGCCCUCCGUUAAUCCCGUUCCCUUGAAACGGUUCCAUAUAAUACCAGCCUUAGAGCGUCCACCUGUCCGACAACGCUAUUUCUACUAGCUAUUCCUCUUCCAAAGCUCCUAACCGGAUUAACACGUCUAUUUCUCCCUCUAGAGUUAUUACCCUAACCAUUCCGUAGGGUUGCACAACUUCGAAAAGCUCCAUUACCGAUCGUUCUCGUUCUAAAUGAAACAAAACCUCAUACGGUUCCCGCCGCUCGAAAAGUUGUUUUAUUGGUUCCCUUUCAAUUCGCUCCUACGACGCUCCUUUAUGAAGGUAGUCGAGUAGUCACGGCAUCUGAUGACGGUAUCGGCUCCACAAAUAGUAGCGCUGAACUUCGGCCUCUUGGAUGAGGACCUGCUCUUACUUUUGGAAUUUCAGAGACUAAAGCCAGAUUCACGGGACCGGCUCAGGUGCUCUGUUCUACCGGAGGAGGUGUGGUGGACACCUUGAGGUCGAAUACAACGAGGACUUCACGAAUCGUCCUCUCCGAUACUACCACGCUUCCGACUGUAUACCAGGACACCUCAUUAAGACAAACACGACCACCGACCAAAGGAAGGAAAAGUACUGUGUUUAGAAUAUCUCUACAUAUCCUUCUAGAGGUCCCGACUUAUAUCUACGGGAGCGGGAAAAAGUCAACUCGACUCCCUAGAUGACAUAUUCUAAGAACUAGGUCUGGGUUCGUGAUCUCGAAGGCAAAGUUCCUAUUUCUCUUCACGAACCAUGUCCUUUGGGCAGCUACAUUUACCUGACUUCUAAUUUGUUCUUUGUUCUCUGUUCCAAGUCUUUCCACUCGGGUGUUGGAGACUUAGUUGUCUUCCGUCGUUAAGUCUCCAAUUGGUUCUUCGCAGUAGUUCGGAGUGUUUGAACUUACGGAAACUGUAUUAAAGAGAGAGUUGCCCUAAACUGGAUAGGUUAAAUAAACUUCUUUUCAUACCGGCCUCCCUCCUGUCUAAAUGGUGAUCCGUCGGUCGUCUCCGAUAUAAACGGUUCGACUUACUUCACCGGUUCUUUAACUUCGAGUUUUAGUUCUUCUUUCUUUUGCCACAGGACUUUAACCGUCGUGGUUUCCUUCCUUACUUCCCGUAAGAACUCAAACUGCGUCUCCAAAAACUCAAACGCGGAAGAAACGUAAAUCAACUUAAUUUCUUCUGGUUACCUCUGUGAUAUCUCAUAUUUGUUGACUACUUUUUACUCUAUUCCGGGCGUGAGUUCCUACACCAAACCCGCACCGUUCCGCUCAGCGUGGGCGAGGGACUCUUUAAAUAGGCUCCUCUCGUCGUCGUCAGUGGAAACGGUAGUGUCGUCGUCGUUGGUGGAAACGGUAGCGUCGUCGUCGUUAGUGGAAACGGUAGCGUCGUCGGUGUCCUCAUUAGCCGGCGUAACGGUUAGACGAUGGUGUUUUCGUGUCCCGCUCUACGACCGUGACGACGGUACCGUAGUCGUUAUGGAUGGUUUUUGAUAACAACCGUCGUGGAUAUUUGGUACGCCUCGCAACGUUGCAGGUCCUGGUCAAACGACAGCGUCGUCGACGUACUAAACAAGUUUGUCGGUCACGGUAUACUGAACAACUGUCUGAACAGUGGCCAAGUAGUCCAAAUAGAACACAAUCAUCAUCUAGUCAACGGAUGGUAAACCGUAAAGGGGGAAGAAAAAUCGAGGAAAACAUAACGACAUAAAAGAAGACUACAACAUAUAAGGGAGAAACGGUUUUAGUGCGAGUUAAAACCCCUGGAAACACCUGACGUCUUUAAACACAAGCCACACUGACUUCUAUAACUUAUCGGUAUUGUCUUUAGUACUGUACGUCGGUAGUGGUAUAGAUCUUGUGAGAUUUGAUCCAUUUACCUACAUUGGUACACUACACACCUUGGACACACUCACUUGUUUGUAGAUAAACCUUAGACCUGUAACUGAUCUUG